rnacentral:rRNA from 1 species
UGGGGAAUUUUGCGCAAUGGGCGAAAGCCUGACGCAGCAACGCCGCGUGUGUGAUGAAGGUCUUUGGAUUGUAAAGCACUUUCGACCGGGACGAAAACCCCUGGGCUAAUACUCCAGGGCUUGACGGUACCGGGAGAAGAAGCACCGGCUAACUCUGUGCCAGCAGCCGCGGUAAUACAGAGGGUGCAAGCGUUGUUCGGAAUUAUUGGGCGUAAAGCGCGUGUAGGCGGCUUUGCAAGUCGGAUGUGAAAGCCCUCGGCUCAACCGAGGAAGUGCGUUCGAAACUGCAGAGCUUGAGUACCGGAGAGGGUGGCGGAAUUCCCCAAGUAGAGGUGAAAUUCGUAGAUAUGGGGAGGAACACCGGUGGCGAAGGCGGCCACCUGGACGGUCACUGACGCUGAGACGCGAAAGCGUGGGUAGCAAACAGG